GUACAAGGCUAAAUAGGGCCCUGGGAUGAGGCACCUGUGACAGGGAGGGGUUUUGCACCCCUCCCUGUCACAGGUGCCUCAUCCCAGGGCCCUAUUUAGCCUUGUACU
rnacentral:miRNA from 1 species